ensembl:lincRNA
GUGAUUUUUGUAUUUUCUUUAUUCAUAUGCAUAUCAUUAUAUAAAAACAAUACUUAGUUACUUCUAUGUUGACAUGUAUAUAGUUCCCAGGCUAAAAGGCCACGGUGAGUAAAGAGAUAGCAUCAUAAAGAUGCUGGUUUUGAUGUGGGUGCCUCUAGAUAGUCUUCAAUAUCAAGAUGUAGGAUCUGAUUUUAGGUUCCACCAUCUUAGAUAGAGCUUUCGUUUUGUUUUGUUUUUGUUUCUUGAGACAGGUUUUCUCUGUGUAGCUCUGGUUGUCCUGUAACUUACUCUGUAGACCAGGCUGGCCUUGAACACUGAGAUCCACUUGCUUCUGCCUCCUAAACACCAGGAUUAAAGGUGUGUGUCACUACUUUCUAAAGGGUUUUGAUUUGUAGAAUUCAUUGUAUGGUGUUUCUAGAUGUAUGUAGGAAACAGAAGCUGCCCUGAACAUGUGUAAUACUUCACAAGUCAAUGUCUGAUCCUUAUUUUUCAACCCAAGUGAAGCAGAGCCUGAGAAUUUAGUCAAUUCUUUUAUCAUUUGCCCAAGCUUAGUUCUGCAGCUUAUGGAAACUAAACCUACUCUAAUUCUUUGCCAGCUGUCUCUAGCACCUAAGCUCUAGAGGAUCUGAGGGAAGUGAUGAAUAAGAGGUUUAUGGGAGAAGGAGGAUGCUGACAUGUAACAAGCCUUUCUGUGUAUAUUAAUAUCACAUGGCUCAUUCACCAAAGCCCUUCAGGUUUUCACUCAGGGAAGAGCUCAAGACUGGUGACAACAGGGUAUCUAGAACUGGGUAUUUGUAGAAUUACAAACCUUUCAGGGAUUUUGAACUGGGGAAUUUGACACUCAUGGGUUGAUGGUUUUUUUUUUUUUUUGGUCAUUUUGAGUUGAAGGGGAAAAGAUGAAGUCAUGAAGAUCUACUAGGAGGUUGUGAUGUAAUCCACUUAAGAGUUUGGGAUCAUGCCUGCCACUCUGAAACAAUAUCUGAGAUGGAUAAGUGAACAUAUUUUGAAUGACACAAAUGGUUCCCAUCUACGGAAAGCAAUGACAGGUGUGAUCAAGAAGAAAUUACAGGACCUGACAGGAGAAAUGGAUUGUGAUGAGCCUUUGGGAGAAGCUUUGGAGAACAUAAGCAGAUGGAGGCUAUUACAGAGAACCACAACUGAUCAAAGUACAGAGAAUAAGUGACUGCGGGAUAUCUAUAUGACACUUAUUGCUGGAGAUAGAGAGCCAGUGCUGAGAUGAGUCAGUAUUAAUAAACUUUACUGAUUAACCCUUCUCCUUAUUUGUUUCCCUCAGAUAGUUCCUAGGCA